rnacentral:rRNA from 2 species
CGUCCUAUUAGCUAGUUGGUGAGGUAAUGGCUCACCAAGGCUACGAUGGGUAGGGGUUCUUAGUGGAAGGUCCCCCACACUGGCACUGAGAUACGGGCCAGACUCCUACGGGAGGCAGCAGUAGGGGAUAUUGGUCAAUGGGCGCAAGCCUGAACCAGCCAUGCCGCGUGCAGGAUGAAGGCUCUCUGAGUUGUAAACUGCUUUUGUACAGGAGCAAAAAAAUCCCUGCGGGGGUUCUUGAGAGUACUGUAAGAAUAAGCACCGGCUAAUUCCGUGCCAGCAGCCGCGGUAAUACGGGAGGUGCAAGCGUUAUCCGGUUUUAUUGGGUUUAAGGGGUGCGUAGGCGGCUUAUUAAGUCAGUUGUGAAAUCCUAGUGCUUAACGCUAGAACUGCGAUUGAUACUAUU